AACGAACGCUGGCGGCACGUUUUAAGCAUGCAAGUCGAACGGCAGUGGGGGCAACCCCAUGAGAGUGGCGAACGGGUGAGUAACACGUAGGUGAUCUGCCUUUGGGUUGGGGAUAGCUUGUGGAAACACAGGGUAAUACCGAAUGAGCUGACGAGGCUUUGGCCAUGUUAGUAAAGGUGCUACGGCACCGCCUAGAGAGGAGCCUGCGGCUGAUUAGCUAGUUGGUGGGGUAAAGGCCUACCAAGGCGACGAUCAGUAGCCGGCCUGAGAGGGUGUACGGCCACACUGGAACUGAGACACGGUCCAGACUCCUACGGGAGGCAGCAGCUAAGAAUCUUCCGCAAUGGGCGAAAGCCUGACGGAGCGAUGCCGCGUGAUCGAUGAAGGUCGAGAGAUUGUAAAGAUCUUUUCCAACUGAGGAAUAAGUGGACCAGGGAAUGGGUUCAUGAUGACGUUAAGUUGGGAAUAAGCCCCGGCUAAUUACGUGCCAGCCGCCGCCGUAA
rnacentral:rRNA from 1 species